CCGGUUAGCGCGCAGCUAUACAACACCCUUUGGGGGAAAUCUGCGGGCGGUCCUGACACCGUGUUCAAGUACCGGGCCGCCCUCU
rnacentral:ncRNA from 13 species